NNNNNNNNNNNNNNNNNNNNNNNNNNNNNNNNNNNNNNNNNNNNGCCACGCGGCUGAGUCACCCGGAGCUUCACAUUAAAAGUCCCCUCGGAGCGCGGGGCACGCCGGGAAGGCCAGGCUCCGGGCCCGUCGCCUGGGGCGGCCGUUGGUAGGUAACCUCAGUCUUUCCCUCCACGCCCACGGCUCCCGAUGGACAACUGGCUCGCGCCUGCACUGCGAGGGUGGAUUUGGUUUCCCAGCUGCGGAUGCCCCCUUUUCAAUUAUUAAAGGGAAAAAACGUGAAGAAAAAACAUGAUACCAUUGUUUGUGAACCUAAAGAACUUCUGAAUGCCUCUCCCAAAGUAACAAAUUGUUGCAAAUCCCUGUGGGUGAAAUACAGUUUUCAGGAGUACAUGAUGGACUUGUCAGCUCCCAGCCAGUUUCAGCCAUGUCAAGGAACCCAGGUCACUAUCUGCCUUUUCAGCCCAAGGAGAGUAGCAGUGGCCAGAACCAUCACCAGGAGGAGAUAAUCCACAAGUUGGCCAUGUAGUUGAGAAAAAUCGGGGACAGCAUUGAUUGUGUUCAAGAGGUGGGUCUUCUGUUUCCCCAGCAACAGCCAGUCAGGUAGCCAGGAAGAGCAAAGAGAACAAAGGCCGUCAAAUGGCUGAGACGCCCAGGAAUUAGCAGAACACGUGGAUUAAUGAUGUCCAGAUCACGAAACCUUAGAUCUGAAAGUUGUGAACCUGAGUCAAAGCCAGUAUUUGAUCUCACACUUGCUACUCAAACUGUGGUCCACAGAGAGCUAGACAGCAGAGGCGGCAUUUGGCAAUUGGUCAAAUGUGCAAAAUCUCAGGCCCCAGCCCCAGUGCUGGAAUCAGAAUCAACUUUUUUACACAUGCCCUGGGAGAUCUGUGUGCACAUUAAAGUGUGAGAAUUGUUGCUCCCCACCCUCAAACUGGGGGGCCUAUUAGAUUCACUUGCGGAGUUGUAAGCACUAUAGCUGCUUGCGCCCCACCUUGAGGGAUUCUGACUGAGUUAGCCUGAGGUGUGGCCUGGGCAGCAGGUGGUUUAAAGGCUCCCCAGGUGAAUCUAAUGCUCAAUUAGGGAGGAAAGAACCUCAGCCUUCCUGGUGGUUUUCCUCCUUGAACUAUCCAGAAGUAAUGCUCUAAGCCCUACUCCUGCUGGUUUCUUUGCUUCUUUGUUUAGAGAUACUAAGGGAAAACAGGAAAGAAGAAUAAUUACUGUUUGAUAUCUUAGAGGUGCUCAAGUCCACUGGGACCAAACUAUGGUUGGCAGUGGAGAGAGAAUGAUAGAUGGGUUCCAUGGUUGGGGGUAGGAGGUAGGUGGCGGGCGGUGGCCCUCAUAGCCCAACUUCUUUUUUAUUUUAUUUAUUUAUUUGAGAAAGAGAGAGAGAGAGAGAGAGAGAGACAGAGAUCACACAAGCAGGGAGAGGGAGAAGCAGACUCCCCGCUGAGCAAAGAGUCUGAUGGGGGCUCAAAUCCAGGACCCCAGGAUCAUGACCAGAGCUGAAGACGCUUAACUGACUGAGCCAUCCAGGCAUCCCCAGAGCCCAACUUCUUUCCUCAGAUGGACCUGUCCUGUGAUGAUUUCUUGCUUGUCACUGCUGCUUCCAUCACGCUGGCUUCAGGGGGUGCCAUGUCCUCUUUUAGGGUCUGGUCCAAAGGCGGACCAUACUCAGCCUUUCCCUCAGAGAAAACAUUCCCUGUUUGUCUCAUCAGACAAAACAUGAAUUAAAGCUCCCAGCAAUAUCACACUACUAAAAAUAAGAAGGAAACCAACACAGAGAGUCAAAUACAAUAUUUGACGGACCAAUUUCAUUCAAACACAUUUUAUUUAGUGCUUGCUGUAUGCUAGACUCAGUUCCAGGCAUUGGUAGCUAGAACAGAGAGCAUAACAGAAGAUGAGGCUACUCUCAUUGAACUAGUAAUGUAGGAGGGACACAGUAAAGCCGAUGACUAGCCAGACAGAGAUGCAGGCUCAAAGCAGGAUUGGAGAUGCUGAGUGAGGCAGAGUGACUUUGGGGAAGGCCUCCCUUAGGGAAGCAAUAUUUGAACAGAGAGUGGCAGUUGGGGAGUGAGCCAUGGGAACACCUGGGGAAAAGUGUUCCAAACUGGGGGACAGGGAAUGCAAAGUCCUUGUGACAGCAACAGGCUUUAAGGCAACACUAGGAGGCCAGAGUGGCUGGAGUAGAAUGAGCUGAAUUCUAGAAGGUGGCCUCGGUCUUAGAGACAGUGGUCAGGUGUCUGCGUUUCACCCUAUGCGUAAGGGAAGCUUCCGGGGAAGGGAAGCAGCGAGUACCAGGAGCUGGUUUACAUUUAGAAUGGGGACUGUCUCCCUGGGCAGAGAGUAGGCUGUUGUGAAAAUCAAAUGAGAUAAUCCGUGUAAAUCACUUAGAACCCAGCCUGAGCCACAGAAAAUGAUUGCUAAAUGUUAUCUCAGCCAAAAAAUUAAUUUGUUUUCUGCCAUUGCCCUUUUCAUCAUUGGAGUUGACCACCUCUUUGCUAUGGAUCAUUUACCACAACAUCCUCCUCG
ensembl:lincRNA